rnacentral:rRNA from 1 species
UACGGAGGGGGCUAGCGUUGUUCGGAUUCAUUGGGCGUAAAGGGUGCGUAGGUGGCGGGGUAAGUCAGGUGUGAAAUCUCGAGGCUCAACCUCGAAACUGCACUUGAUACUGCCUUGCUGGAGUACUGGAGAGGAGAUUGGAAUUUACGGUGUAGCAGUGAAAUGCGUAGAUAUCGUAAGGAAGACCAGUGGCGAAGGCGAAUCUCUGGACAGUUACUGACACUGAGGCACGAAGGCCAGGGGAGCAAACGGG